rnacentral:rRNA from 1 species
UGGAGGGGGAUAACUACUGGAAACGGUAGCUAAUACCGCAUAACGUCGCAAGACCAAAGAGGGGGACCUUCGGGCCUCUUGCCAUCGGAUGUGCCCAGAUGGGAUUAGCUAGUAGGUGGGGUAACGGCUCACCUAGGCGACGAUCCCUAGCUGGUCUGAGAGGAUGACCAGCCACACUGGAACUGAGACACGGUCCAGACUCCUACGGGAGGCAGCAGUGGGGAAUAUUGCACAAUGGGCGCAA